UAUGAUAUUGUAACAAAUAAUGUCUCUCUUUAUCCAGUAUAUUUAUCUGUUUCUCUAGCUCAACCCAAACGUUGAUCUUUUGCACUGAAAUUCCUAUUCAGUUCUGUAUGGCUGUGUUACUUAUAGGUCUUCCCUAAAAAGGAUUCACAUUUCUGAAUAAUAAAGUAUCUUCACGGGCAGCGUCUGUUAGCUUUUAAACAAGUGGCCAGUAAAUGAUUCCUGCUGAUUGGUUGUUAUCUAGCUGACUAAAUCUAUAGCAACAGUUGCACCUUUUAUUGCAGAGACCCCAUAUCUGGUUACUCUUCUCUACCUACUAUUUCUCGUAUACAGAGCGAGGACACUGCCUUGUGACGGAACCAUUAAGGGAAAUUUGCAGAAAGAAAACAGCGGUGUUAAUGGUGCCAAGCAGGAGAAUGUAUCCGGGAGCUGAAUCAUCAUCCUACAAAUUCCGAAUCCUUCUCUAUGUGCUCGUUGCUCUGCUAAUUGUUGGCCUUGCGAUCCUGGGGUGGGUCGUUAUGAAGAAAAACGAGCAUAUCGAAGAGUUGGAAAAUCAAGUCCAAACUCUGAGCGCUCAGGUGAGGAAACUCAUUGAGAAGGAGCAGAGACUCACAGAGAUCAUUGAGGUUUAUGAGAGGAAAGUCCAAGAAAUGCAGCCACCAGAGAACGUGGCAAACGUGGGAUCAUCCUCGGAUCCACAGGAGGAAGCAACAAUAUUGAAGAAGGCGUCUAUGUAUAUAUUCAAAUUGUCGAGAAUCUACCGGUGACCUUGGCCUGCAUUUAUAUGGGUUACGGACUUGCCUGGUUCCACCAACAUGAACCAACCACUACGGCCUUUUCUCAACUCACAGAACUGAAAUGAAGCAGAUGUUGCCUCUGAAACUUUAUUUUUAACUUUUAUUCUCCUCUUCAAAGUAAAAUAAAAAAAUACGAGCAAUAAGAAAGCACCAAUUAAAAUCUGCAGUGCACGAGUUGGCUCAGUAAAAUAAGA